UGACCGCUGGCGGCGUGCCUACUACAUGCAAGUCGAGCGACCAGACGAGGAGCUUGCUCCUCUGACGUUAGCGGCGGACGGGUGAGUAACACGUGGAUAACCUACCUAUAAGACUGGGAUAACUUCGGGAAACCGGAGCUAAUACCGGAUAAUAUAUUGAACCGCAUGGUUCAAUAGUGAAAGACGGUUUUGCUGUCACUUAUAGAUGGAUCCGCGCCGCAUUAGCUAGUUGGUAAGGUAACGGCUUACCAAGGCAACGAUGCGUAGCCGACCUGAGAGGGUGAUCGGCCACACUGGAACUGAGACACGGUCCAGACUCCUACGGGAGGCAGCAGUAGGGAAUCUUCCGCAAUGGGCGAAAGCCUGACGGAGCAACGCCGCGUGAGUGAUGAAGGUCUUCGGAUCGUAAAACUCUGUUAUUAGGGAAGAACAAAUGUGUAAGUAACUAUGCACGUCCUGACGGUACCUAAUCAGAAAGCCACGGCUAACUACGUG
rnacentral:rRNA from 1 species